AUUUGUUUAACCCAACAGCUGGGUUGAGCCUGUUGGGUCAUUUUGUUGGGUUAUUUUCUCAGUGUUGGGUCAUUUUUUGAGUAACCCAAACGCUGGGUUACCAGUCUGGUCCAAUUGAGUGACAGUUGAGAGAGUAAACCCCUCCCACUCCUCUACGCAUCAGACAAACUUUACCUUCGCGGGCAUUUUGAUCCACUUCAUCUCGGAAAGUUGUUAUUCGGAGAAUAAAAGGUUGCAGAAUAACAGCUAAUAUUAAUGGAUCAUUCUAUUCAAGAGAAUGUCAACUGGAACUUGGAUGUUUUCAUAACAGGCUUAAAGAUGAACAAAUUGAUAAAGAAACCCUCCUGCUGGACAUCCACUUCCAAAAGUGCACGCCACACUGUUGUCUACAACUCCCAGGAAAAGAAUCCUCUUCAGUAAGACUGCUCCGUGGAUAUGUCAGGUUAAGCAGUGCUGAAACCGAAAGAACUAACACUAUUUAAAAUGUUUUGUGAGUUUAUAUGAAGAGGAAAGUUACGGUGUCCCUUUUUCACAUCCAUAACGCUUGUUUAUUUCUUUUUUUAUAGAAAACUUGUGCAUAUAUUUUAACAUAUAAAUGCGGUUCUAUUAACAAGGGUUUAGUAAAAUACUUUUUAUAGUGUUUUGAAGUGUUAAGUUGUCUAACUAUUUAUAUUUACUUGUGCCACUUUAAUAACCUUGUUAAAUGUAUAUGUUAAAAUCUAAACUAAUGUAAUUUAUUGAAAUUAAUUUUCUUUAAAUAUGUAUAAACAUACAUUUCAUCAA